rnacentral:lncRNA from 1 species
CUUGGGAUAAGUAAGAAUUAAUUUAGGGAAUAUCGAUCACAAAUACAAUUUGAGUAUCCGUGUAAUAUAUAUAUCUCGAUGGUAGAAAGAGAUGAACAUCGCGUGUCCAAGACAUAUAUUCAAAUGGAUAUAAUGAGCUUUCAUAUCAAAAUCUCAACUGAAAAACAAAUCUAGGCUUUUUACUUCAGCAGACCCAAUGUCAGUGCAUGUAGUAAAAUUUAUGGCAAAAUUCUCGUGAAAAAAAGCAAUUAUGUAUGGAGAAGUGAAAAGUAAGAAAAAAGAAAAGAAGGGUUUACAAGAAAGGAAGUGAAGGCUGAGGGUGAUGACAGAAGCAUAGAGAGCACAAAGGAAUGAGAUACAAUCUGCAUGCAUUUCAUCAUCUGUGCUCUCUAUCUUCUGUCAACACUAAUCACCAAUGCCUGUACUCCUCAAUUUUAAUCCCCACCCUUAAUUUCGCCGACUCCAAUUCUGAAAACUAGUUUUGCAGGAAUGAAUUAGUCUUUUUCUGUGGGCGUAUGAUAGAACCACUACAAGAAAUUUCACUUUUAACGAUGCAUUUUUUUGCCGUAAAAAAGGUUUUUUUUUUUUUUUUUUUUUGGAUUGUUUAGUCGAAAAAUGAUUGUCGCAAGAUGAAAUUUUCCUUGUUAAAAAGUGAAAUAUUUUGAGGAUGAAGAGAUAGAG